rnacentral:misc_RNA from 1 species
GAUGAAGAACGUAGCGAAAUGCGAUAAGUAAUGUGAAUUGCAGAAUUCAGUGAAUCAUCGAAUCUUUGAACGCACAUUGCGCCCUCUGGUAUUCCGGGGGGCAUGCCUGUUCGAGCGUCAUUAUAACCACUCAAGCUCUCGCUUGGUAUUGGGGUUCGCGGUUCCGCGGCCCCUAAAAUCAGUGGCGGUGCCUGUCGGCUCUACGCGUAGUAAUACUCCUCGCGAUUGAGUCCGGUGGGUCUACUUGCCAGCAACCCCCAAUUUUUACAGGUUGACCUCGGAUCAGGUAGGGAUACCCGCUGAACUUAAGCAUAUCAAUAAGCGGAGGA